rnacentral:lncRNA from 1 species
GGGAAGUGUGUGAGGAGGGGAAUUUCAGAGAGGGAGCAAAAGGGUAAAAAAAUGUGAUCUUGGAAGAAGAAAAGGAAAGUUGAAUAUGGAUAGAGGAAAGAAACAAUAGACGAAAGAUUGGUUAUUGGAGUGAGAUUUAUAUUUCGAUUUCAGAGGAAAAUAUAAAUAAGAAAAUGUGAUUUCUUUCUUUUUCAUCCUUUUAAGCUUGUACAGGAAUUUGACUUAUCCAAGACUCUCCAGAUAUGCUUUCAUCAAUUUCCAUAUUAUCAAGAUUGCCAAC